AGGGCAAUCCCAAUAAAAAGCUAUGAACCUUGUCAGGUCCGGAAGGAAGCAGCAAUAAGUAGUGUAUUUAUGUGGGUAAUUGCUUUCCA
rnacentral:SRP_RNA from 3 species